rnacentral:rRNA from 1 species
UACGGGGGGGGCAAGCGUUGUUCGGAAUUACUGGGCGUAAAGGGCUUGUAGGCGGCCAACUAAGUCCGACGUGAAAUCCCCAGGCUUAACCUGGGAACUGCGUCGGAUACUGGAUGGCUUGAAUUCGGGAGAGGGAUGCAGAAUUCCAGGUGUAGCGGUGAAAUGCGUAGAUAUCUGGAGGAAUACCGGUGGCGAAGGCGGCAUCCUGGACCGGCAUUGACGCUGAGGAGCGAAAGCUAGGGGAGCAAACGGG